rnacentral:rRNA from 1 species
UGGAUCCAGACUUUGAUUCUGGCUCAGGAUAAACGCUGGCGGCGCACAUAAGACAUGCAAGUCGAACGGACUUAACUCAUUCUUUUAGAUUGAGAGCGGUUAGUGGCGGACUGGUGAGUAACACGUAAGCAACCUGCCUAUCAGAGGGGAAUAACAGUGAGAAAUCAUUGCUAAUACCGCAUAUGCUCACAGUACCACAUGGUACAGUGGGGAAAGGAGCAAUCCGCUGAUAGAUGGGCUUGCGUCUGAUUAGCUAGUUGGUGGGGUAACGGCCUACCAAGGCGACGAUCAGUAGCCGGACUGAGAGGUUGAACGGCCACAUUGGGACUGAGAUACGGCCCAGACUCCUACGGGAGGCAGCAGUCGGGAAUAUUGCGCAAUGGAGGAAACUCUGACGCAGUGACGCCGCGUAUAGGAAGAAGGUUUUCGGAUUGUAAACUAUUGUCGUUAGGGAAGAUAAAAGACUGUACCUAAGGAGGAAGCCCCGGCCAACUAUGUGCCAGCAGCCGCGGUAAUACAUAGGGGGCAAGCGUUAUCCGGAAUUAUUGGGUGUAAAGGGUGCGUAGACGGAAGAACAAGUUGGUUGUGAAAUCCCUCGGCUCAACUGAGGAACUGCGACCAAAACUAUUCUCCUUGAGUGUCGGAGAGGAAAGUGGAAUUCCUAGUGUAGCGGUGAAAUGCGUAGAUAUUAGGAGGAACACCAGUGGCGAAGGCGACUUUCUGGACGAUAACUGACGUUGAGGCACGAAAGUGUGGGGAGCAAACAGGAUUAGAUACCCUGGUAGUCCACACUGUAAACGAUGGAUACUAGGUGUAGGGUGUAUUAAGCACUCUGUGCCGCCGCUAACGCAUUAAGUAUCCCACCUGGGGAGUACGACCGCAAGGUUGCAACUCAAAGGAAUUGACGGA